AUCCAAUUGGCGAGUCUCAAAUAGGACGAAACGUGCGUCCUUGAU
rnacentral:hammerhead_ribozyme from 1 species